AUAUGUGUGAAAAGAAUGUAACUAUACAUAUGAAACAAAAGUCUCACCAAGAAAAUUUUAUUCUUACCCCUAAUCAUGCUCUCUGACAGGGACCAAUGGCGUGUGCAGGGCUCCAGAAUCAGUGUGUCAGCCCCGUCCCGCAGCCCAGUCUCAUAGAAUGCCACAGAAGAAAUACUGCGCCAGCCAGCAACAGUAAUUCCACACCAGGCUAGGUACUGGAACCAGGGUCCAGCCCUGUGGCUCUGGAGUGGCUACAGGCAUGAGUCUCAGAACUUCUCAGGGCAUCUGGUUGACUCAAGGUUAGGGGUGGAGGGCUGCAGAAUGAAGAAUCCCAAAGGGCAGAAAUGGGAAAUGGGUCGGGGGUAGUCUCUCUGCAGCACCGCAGGCCCCAGCUGGUCCUGGAUACUGUGAAAAAGCUGCUCCGAUGUGUAUGGGGAGGUGCCAGGAGUACUGCUCAUGAAUUAGUCUAUCCUAUUAUGUAACCAUUUAAAAAAUGUCUUUGGGUGUCUUUCUGUCUCUCCACUUGGUGUCCUGGGAGAGGACAUUUGAUCAGCUCAGUUUAAAAGAAGUGUCUAUGCUGGCACUCAUCAGCUGUAGGCAAAGGGAAUAGGAACUGUAGUCCAGAUAUGACCCUUUUCUGUCCCAAACUCUGCAUUAAAGGGGCUGACUCCAGCAGGUAGUGACCCUGUGAGCCAGGCAGCCACCCCAGCUGGCAUCUAUGAGAGAUACAAAUCUGGGGGUUUUAGAUCCCAGUCCAAAGCUGCUCAAGGUCUCUCAUGAAGGGAUAUUGACAAGUAAGAAGUAUAAUUUAAUUUUAAGGGAGGAGAAUCCAAGAAAGAAGAGGAUGAAUAAUUUACUUGGUUUCAUGAGAACUCCACAGCAGAGACAGGCUGGACCCGUGCCUUCUGACUCCUGGUCUGAGACACCAUGGCAUGUAGUUCGUUCAAUGCAAUGGACUCAGAAAACUUUUUGGCAUUAAAACAGCUUCAUUCAUGUCGUUCCUUAAAAAAAAAAAUGAACUACGGAAUCCUGGUCAAUGUGAUGCUGCUACUUGUAAAGUUACAUUACUGCUAUGUGUUUUGCACGGUGUUAUAAUGGUUCAUUUUAUCAUUUACUCUGGUGUGCAUCCAAGUCCAGCAGUCUGGAAUUUCCUGUGACACUUCUCCCUUCUCAUUAGAUAGGGAGAGCAUCUCACUUCUUUCAUCUUCAGAGCCUUUUUUGGUGUGUCCUUUAUAAUUCCUCAGAAAAGCUGAGUAGUGGUUCUCUAGUGACAAGAGUAGAGCAAUUUGUGAUCUUUCAAAAAGAUGCAGUGCAAGUAAAAAUUAUUACUCUGUGUUAACAAAGUAACACAUGACACCUAAUAUAUUUUACUCUGAUCCUCAUGUCCAUAACUCUGGCUUUUUAGAAUUCUGCCUAUGAAAGUCCAUUUGUUAAAUGUGUAAUAGACAUUGAUCAAACUGGAAAAAAAGAUUUUUAUGCUUUUUCUUUGAAAAUACAAUUAGAGCCAGUGGGCUGUUAUGCCCAUAGGUAUUUUGGGCAGCACUAAUUGCUUUUGACUGAGGACACUGGCCACCCCAAGCUGAGAAUUCUGUAAUCCUUUCUGGGUAUCUGUCAGCAUCCUGGUGUCAAGAUUUCUUAGUAAAUAGAUAAGACCCAAAAUAUGAACCCUCAGUUGGUCUAAAUCAUCAUGAUGACCUCCUUACACUUGCUGAUGACCUUCUUAGAUUUCUAUGAGGGAGAGUAAUGUUUUAUGUGUGCAUGUGUAUGUUUCAGAGCAGAUGUUUUAAUUCAGAAAGUAGGCAACUGCUCAUUUUAGAAAAAGAAGGUUCUAGUAGAGGAAGAAAUAUAAGUAAGGAACUCAGCUAGUGGUCAGGAAGGAACUUAGCUUGAGAUAACAACUCUGUUUUGUUAGAAGUUAGUAUUUGAUUAUUCAUCAUAGACAAAUAUCUGGUUUCUGCUUCAAAAGUCUGAGUACUUUUUUAAAAACUCUGCUAAUGUUUAUUCCCACUACCUGACUCUUCAUAGAAAGGGUUUCAAAUGAUUCAAUAUUUUCUAAAACAUAUUGGAUUUAUUUCUCUUCUUGGUGACUGAAAAGAUAGCCAUCUAUAUAUCUUUUGCCCUCCCCAUCCCUAACGAAAUCUCUUCUAGUUUUCCAAGAAUGAACAUGAGCUGUUUCCUAAAAUUAUCAUUCAUCGCUACUGGAAACAGAAAUUGAGGGCACUGAGCAAACAUUUUUCUACCAAGGUCAAGACCAAAGAACAUUUAAAGGUGGGGGGAGGGGCGGGGGGCGUUCUGCGUUUGUUCUAAGCCUUUGCUGCUCAGAGACCUACUCUUUCAGGGGACCUUGCUCUCCACUCAAAAGACUCACUUGUUUUAGCCUAACAGUGGGCUGUAGGGCUCCUCUGCUGAUCUGUGGGGUCUGGCUCUGUCUGCAGAAGCCUGCUUUACCAGCUUUAAACUGAGCAUUGAAGCAAUAUAAACCUGCACGGGGAAGAAUUCAGAGCGCCUGGCUGGAGUUGGUAGUAGCAGAGCACAGCUGCCUGGGGGUAUCUAGACAAAUUAUUUAUCCCCACUCACCAUAAAUAUUCCACUUGAUUCGGGGGUAAAUUUAGUACUUUCUGAGAAUAGUUUGCUGUAGGGAACAAGCCAUGAGGGGGUGGCUUUUCACUGACACAGAUUAGGUUCUUCCCCAAGGCGGGGCAGGAAUGUCCCCUUAUGAAGUCAUUGCUUCCAGGUUUGAGCGAUCAACAUACCACUUCUUAUUUUCGGUGUAAUUGAACUAUACACAUUUCUGGGGGAGGGGGUAUAAAUGGAGAUGCUGACGUGCCAGCAUUUAUGCUGCCGACACAAGUGUUCUCAGUUUGGUUGAUGUAAGUGGUGCUGACGUAAACCUUCUCGAGAACAGCUGCCAGAGCUGCUUCCCUGGACCUGCCAGUGGAUUCUGCCAAGCAUCCUCUGCGCUGAGGGCCGAGGCACCUGCCACUGACUCUCAAGCCUCUAAUACAAAAAAAAUAAUAAUCUAUUCAUUUCUCAAUUACCUGUCCUUCUUUCAUGCCAAUAACUACUUAAAUCAGAGCAUGACUUCUUUUAAAAGUUCAGUAUUAGGUUAAGAAUACAGUGCUGUUUAUCCUUAUACUAGAGGCUUAAUUUUCAGAGCUCUAAAUAUCAUUCAAGCUCAUUUAGCUUGGAGUAGAAAAUGGAGGCAUGACUGUUACUAUGUAAAAUAAGUUAUGUUGUAAUACAGAUUUCAUGUUAGUAUAACUUUUGAACUACUGAGUUAACUGGAAAUCACUUGCCACUGUUGAUAAUUCUGUAAAUGACUGUGAUGAAGGCUAUCGUUCUUCUUCAGGGAGAGUUGCUCACACACUUAACACGGCACACACACACCUACAGGGUGAACCUCCAGACCUGGAAGCAGAUUUAAUAUCUGUGAAAGCAGAGGGAAGGAAGGACCGGACAGGGAAACUCUCAGAGCACGGUGCUAUUCUAGAAAGUCUCGGCAAGGCCAACAGGGAGUCCUUGAGCAAAGGAGUUAGAGGAGUUCCGCAUUAGGCUGCGGGGAUGGCCUGCCCUGGUCACCCCACCUGCCCUGUCCUUGCCUGGGGGAAGCCCAGAGGAAGCUUGGCCAGCCAUGAGUGCUGUGGCAGAUUCAAGGUAUGGCAGCCGGAGGCUGUCACUCAAACAUCUUCCCAGACAGCGUUUCUGGAAAGGGGAUCUAAGCAGAGGCCUUCCUGGCCACCACAAAGGGAUAAGAGGGUCCUUGUGGGUGCAAAAGUGUAUGUUCUCCUUCCUCCUAUUUUCUUCCAUUUUGGUAAGUGCUACCCUUCUGCCAGUGUGACCCUGCCAGCCAAACAGGGAAUAGAAUAUCAUAAGUUUGUGACUGAGUUUGUCUUCAUACAGUACUGUAGCCACUUUUUUUUUUUGCUUUGCUUAGUUUUAUUCAAAUGAUGUUGUAUGCCUGAAACUAAUAUAAUAUUGUAUGCCAAUAAGACUGUAACCACUUUAAUUGUUCAACAAUGGAAUGGGGCAGAGGGAACAUUAUCUACAAAAGUUGAAUAUAACGGCUUUACCACAACAACCUUUGUCUUUUGUCCUGGGGCAAUCCACGACAUCAUCAUCAAAACAACAGCUUGCUGUUUAAGUGUAGAGCCCAGAAUGCUCACCAAAAUCCUAUAAAAGCCACGCCAAUAUCCAAACUCUCUCAGUGUGUAUGCCUAAAAUUAAAGACCAGUUUUUUUCUAUUAUGCCCCUCCCCCUGUCAGCCAAAACCAGUGGGCUGCAGGUCUUUCUCUCACUUCCAUGAAAGAUGGGUGGAAGAUCUCCCUCCCUAACCAGCAGAGCAGAAGAUGUGCACUCUCCCUUCGGACUGUGUUCUCCAGGGGAGCGAGGUGUCUUAGAAGUGCACCGGUGGGAGAAAAGAGAGGUUUCUGAGAGGGUGGGGGAAGCUGAAGAGAGCUCCUCUGCAGUAGGAAAGAGAAAUACUCACAGGACUGAGGGGCUUUUAAAUUAAAAAAAUAUAUUAUUGAUUUGAGAGAGACAGAGAAACAUCGACCUGCUGUUCCACCCAUUCACCCACUCACUGGCCGGGUCCUGCAUAUGCCCUGACUGGGGAUUGAACCCGCAACUCUGCAUGUUAGGACAAUGCUACAACCAACUGGGCAACCCAGCCACGGC